GGCUGCCUGGCUGCCUGCCUGCGUGGCUGCCUGGCUGCCUGCCUGGCUGCGUGGCUGCCUCCUCCUUUCAGCUGCGAAGGACGCUCGUUUUAACAUCUCACUUCGAAUCCUUGAAACACAAAAGCACGCACGCACGCAAACAUGAGCGCUCACACACGCCACGCGUCAUGAUUAAGAAAAUAACACCAAGUAAAUCACGCGUUUGAGCAUAUGCUUUUGCUUUGAAAUUCCCCACCAGUGAAUGUUGCGACAUUCCGGUAUUAGCUUGACGUGCGUGACGCAAGUACGCAGCCGCAUCACAGCACAACAAAGCUCGCACAAAACUAGAUCAUUCCGUUCUAUCAAUCAAAACAAUUGGAUGUCUGUUUAUUACAAUGUUUCUUGUGUUAUUUUGUUUGACAUCAGGUGCUGGAGUUAGUUGCGUUACUGGGGCAACGGAAAGCCAGUGGAGAAUGAGUCCAAAGCAAUCAGUUCCCCCUUCCCAUCAAAAGUGACAUUCCGCUGGAAGCUGCCUGGCUGUGUGACUCAUUUUCUACCGAAGAGAGCAUGUCACUGAGCCCAGAUGACCUCCACAGGAAGUUGUCACAUGCUGGGAGGAAGUGAGCGUCCACCAAGGAAUAAGCAGGACGACUUUAGAGAAGUGGAACGCCACUUUCAGCCUGUGAGGGUCGCUCGGGAAUGACAUUAGGUACACCAGCACGCUGGAAUGAGUUCCAAUGACAAACAGCUAGCUGCUU